AGCUGAUGACAAACCUACAAAAUUACACAAAAUUGUUAUGCGUCUUGAAAUUUGUCUUAUCCAUGCGGCUAUAUAGUAGCAUUACACUCCACAUACAUAAUUGAAUUUCAAAUUACAAAAGAAUAAAAUAAAGCCCGAUAUGAAGAUGCAACAACAACAUUCAUAUUCGAGAUAUGUACGGUCGAAUAUUCACAAAACAUGAGUUCCUAAUAAUUUCUUCACCCGGAAAGGCAAAAGAGCUCUAAACUCAUUUUCUGAACGGCUUAAGAGGAACCUCUGAAUAUUUUUAAACGUGAACGCGGACCCUUUGAUCGUGCUUCCAGAAGCUUUGCCUUCAAAGUAUUUUCCUUCAAG
rnacentral:misc_RNA from 1 species